rnacentral:tRNA from 1 species
GGUGGCUCAGUGGUAGAGCGCUUGCCUUGCAUGCACAGGGGCCUAGGUUCAAUUCCUCAGCACCA